GUCUUUUUGAUUUAAUUUAAAGUCUAAUCUGCCCACUGAUUAUAAUUAAAGGGCUGCAGUAAUUUGACUGUACAAAGGUAGCAUAAUCAUUAGUCUUUUAAUUGAAGACUGGUAUGAAUGAUUUGAUGAAAUAUAAACUGUCUCUAAUUUAUAUUUAAAAUUUAAUUUUUUAGUUAAAAAGCUAAAAUAUAUUUAAAAGACGAGAAGACCCUAUAGAGUUUUAUAAUUUAAAAAUUAAAAUAUUUAUAUUAAAUUUUAAUAUAAUAUUUUUUAAAUUAUUUUGUUGGGGUGAUAAAAAAAUAAAUAAAACUUUUUUUAAAAAAUAUCAAAGAUAAUUGAAUAAAUGAUCCAAAUUAAUGAUUAAAAGAAAAAAUUACCUUAGGGAUAACAGCGUAAUAUUUUUUUUUAGUACAAAUAAAAAAAAAAGUUUGCGACCUCGAUGUUGGAUUAAGAUAAAAUUUAAAUGCAAAAGUUUAAAAUUUUGAUCUGUUCGAUCAUUAAAAUCUUACA
rnacentral:rRNA from 1 species